AACGAACGCUGGCGGCGUGCUUAACACAUGCAAGUCGAACGGUGAAGCUCCAGCUUGCUGGAGUGGAUCAGUGGCGAACGGGUGAGUAACACGUGAGCAACCUGCCCCUGACUCUGGAAUAAGCGCUGGAAACGGCGUCUAAUACUGGAUACGAGAAGGGUCAGCAUGGGGACUUUCUGGAAAGUUCUUCGGUUGGGGAUGGGCUCGCGGCCUAUCAGCUUGUUGGUGAGGUAAUGGCUCACCAAGGCGACGACGGGUAGCCGGCCUGAGAGGGCGACCGGCCACCCUGGGACUGAGACACGGACCAGACUCCUACGGGAGGCAGCAGUGGGGAAUAUUGCACAAUGGGCGAAAGCCUGAUGCAGCGACGCCGCGUGCGGGAUGACGGCCUUCGGGUUGUAAACCUCUUUCAGCAGGGAAGAAGCGAAAGUGACGGUACCUGCAGAAGAAGCACCGGCUAACUACGUG
rnacentral:rRNA from 1 species